rnacentral:snRNA from 1 species
GGAAGCUAUGAGAGUAAUUUGGCUGUGACACCUGCCACCACAUUGAUGUCAGGGUUGAUUCGGCUGAUCUGGCUGGAUAGAUGGGUGUCCCCUGCCUCCCUCUAUGCUCCACGCGCAUCCCCCCUGAAGCUGCACACUUGGUCAAAGAGAACAACAGAACAACCUUCCCUGAUAGAGGAGGAUUAUUAUUUGGUCAAAGGCAUACAAAACGUUGCCGGUACCUCCAAAUAAGAAUAAGAAAAGAAGAGAUCAAUGAAGGAGACAAAGAGAAAAAAAUGGCAAGGAGAAAACAGAAAUUAAAGUUUAAAACAGACCUGAAGUAUAUAGUCUUC